rnacentral:rRNA from 1 species
CCUACGGGAGGCAGCAGUGAGGAAUAUUGGUCAAUGGUCGGGAGACUGAACCAGCCAAGCCGCGUGAGGGAUGAAGGUACAGAGUAUCGUAAACCUCUUUUGUCAGGGAACAAAGGCGGGGACGUGUCCCCGGAUGAGUGUACCUGAAGAAAAAGCAUCGGCUAACUCCGUGCCAGCAGCCGCGGUAAUACGGAGGAUGCGAGCGUUAUCCGGAGUUAGUGGGUUUAAAGGGUGCGAAGGCGGUCUGUUAAGUCAGCGGUCAAAGCCCGGGGUUCAACCCCGGCCCGCCGUUGAAACUGGCAGUCUCGAGUUGGAGAGAAGUAUGCGGAAUGCGCGGUGUAGCGGUGAAAUGCAUAGAUAUCGCGCAGAACUCCGAUUGCGAAGGCAGCAUGCCGGCUCCACACUGACGCUGAGGCACGAAAGCGUGGGUAUCGAACAGGAUUAGAUACCCGGGUAGUC